CUAAAAAUUAAUCAAAUGUCGAUAGUGACAAUAAAGCUGAACUACUUUAGUUACAAGUUGUCCAAUCCUGUUGGACAAUAAAAAAUUAUUAUUUUUAAAUUGCCAUCCUUUUUAUUUUGCAACACAUGUUUUUUCUCAUUGCAUUAGACUAAAUAUUUCAAUAUCAAAACUGCAACAAUUAACUUUCAUGCUAGUUUACUUCUAAAUUUUAAAAUAAUGUGGAUGGCAAGUUGAGUGAAAAGAAUAAUAUGAUCGACAAUAUGAUCUAAUAAAAAAAAACCUUUGGCAUUGUGUAUAUGUUAGGAAGCAUAUGUUACAAAACUCUCUUACCAGAAAGAUCUAUAUGGAGAUUUCAACAGCAUUUGGUGAACAAAAAAUAUUUCUUUAACGUUUCAAUAACUGAGAUAGAAUAAAUGUUCUUUAGGCAAUUCACAUGCAUAUGACAAACCCCUGGCCUGUUUUAACUUCAGCUGCAAUCAGAAGAAUGAAUACAAAUCAUGUAUUUUUAUAUUUUUUGUUUGUUUUUCAAAGAACAUUUCCUCGUAAUUAAUGCGCAGAGUGCAAAAAAUUGACUGGGUCAGAUAGACAAGAUUUGGAGCUUCGAUUGGAAGACUGAUCAGUUUGUAAUCGAAUGACUAAUAUAUUGUUA